rnacentral:ribozyme from 1 species
UGCCCAGCAACUCCUAUCCCUACCUCCUCGUGGUACCGGCCGGAAACUAUGAUUAGCAUCACGGGGAUCAUCAAGAAUAAUUUCGGACCGCACAAGCUAAAUGGGUGAG